AAGAUCAGUGAACUGGAACAAUCCUCCCAGUUCUUCCACCCACAUCCGUGUUACAGGAAGGACCAAACUUUGAACCCAACUAGAAUUUUGUAGGAAAGCGGCUAAUGUGUUCCAGGAAGCUGUGUUAAGGGAACACGUGAAGCAAACAGCAGCUUGUGAGCUCACAGUCCUCUGCACAAAACCCUUCCCUGAGGUUAAUGCUAGCUGCUGCUACCCAUCAACUGAAGAAUUUUCAGUGAACACGACGAAGGUUUAUUUCUGGCUCCUGUGACUGUUCCUUGCUGGUCAUUUCGAACAGGGGCAGCGUUGCCGGGACAGACACCCGUGUCUGCUGGCUGCAGGGAGCUUUGGCCACAGAGUGUAGGAGGCCUUUGGAAGGAAGGAACGAGGAGGACGAGACUGAAAAGCUGUCAUCUAAUCCUUCCAGAAAGCCCUGUAUGGUAUAUACCAUGCCUCCCGUCGGACUCUUAAUUCUCCUGGGUGGAGUGAACACAGACAUUGGUUGGGGUUCAAAUCCCAGGUCUGUCAUUUGCUGGCUGUGCCACUGUGGGCAAUUUACUCAAUCUCUCUGAACCUUGGCUCCCUCAUUUGAGAAACAAGAUGCUGACACCUCAUGUGGUGGUUGUGGGGAUGAAAUGACAUUUAGAACACUUGCGUCAAUCUGUGUUCUUCCUCUCAGCAGGGCCCCUUGACUGGUUCUUGAAUGGCUCUUGCUGCUUAAAGGAAUCCAGAGAAAUGGGGUUAGUGUGACUGCCAUCUGGAAAAAAAUAAAGCAGAAUUUCCUGCCUCUCUCCUCACCCCCAAAUAAAGCCAGGAUUUCUUUCAUUA